GUGUCAGCAGCCGCGGUAAGACGGAGGGUGCUAGCGUUGUUCGGAAUUACUGGGCGUAAAGGGCGCGUAGGCGGCCAGGUAAGUCGGGUGUGAAAGCCCGGGGCUCAACCCCGGAACGGCACCCGAGACUGCGUGGCUCGAGACCGGAAGAGGUGAGUGGAAUACCCAGUGUAGAGGUGAAAUUCGUAGAUAUUGGGUGGAACACCGGUGGCGAAAGCGGCUCACUGGCCCGGUUCUGACGCUGAGGCGCGAAAGCGUGGGGAGCAAACAGGAUUAGAUACCCCGGUAGUCC
rnacentral:rRNA from 1 species